UACAGAGACUGCAAGCGUUAUUCGGAUUCACUGGGCGUAAAGGGUGCGCAGGCGGCCAGGUGUGUUAGGCGUGAAAGCCCGGGGCUUAACCUCGGAAUUGCACCUAAAACUACUUGGCUAGAGCAUUGGAGAGGGUAGCGGAAUUCACGGUGUAGCAGUGAAAUGCGUAGAUAUCGUGAGGAACACCAGAGGCGAAGGCGGCUACCUGGACAAUUGCUGACGCUCAGGCACGAAAGCGUGGGGAGCAAAAGGG
rnacentral:rRNA from 1 species